rnacentral:lncRNA from 1 species
GACGGGAUGGUUGUGAGCGGGACAGAAACUCCACCACAAGGGUUCUGGGGGUACUACAGGGACUAAAGGAAGCAGUGUGAUCAGUGUGAAAGCAGCAAGGCCAUGAUUUAUUUCUUGGGCGUGUAGUUUUCUCCCGAGGCCUCUGCUUGGUUAUUUUACCCAGCAUCGGUGCCAAAGGAGAUUUCCCCAAAGGGAAAAGUACUGCAGUGCUCGACGCAUUACAGUCCUUUCCCGUUUGCAAGCUCUCCCACACAUUCCUUCUUCUGUUCCCAAAUCACAGGAGACGACGAGAAAGAGAACAGACCACCUGUCCAGAUAAUUUGCCUUUGGAGUCUGCAGGGCUGGUGAAGGCAUCCUGAGAUGGGGGAGGCCCCUGGGGACCUCCACAGUCAGGGCUCCCACCUCCUCUCCCACACCGCUCUGCCUCAUGCCCUGGGUUGCCUGUCUGACUGUCUCAAGACUGGGGGUUCUCCGGUGAGCAGAUGGCUGCUUAGCGUCUGAGGGGCAGACACCAUGCCGUGGUGACAGCGUGAUCCCUUGAUGGAAAGGCCACCAGAACCACUGGUAGUGCAGCUGGACACUGCGGAGCCCUGGGACCACACCCGCUGCCUCCCUCCAGACUCCUUAGGUCUAUGCCGUGUGCCUGGCUUUUUCCAACCACUCCGAAUUGAUCAUUUCCUAAUGACCACAUGGCUCAGAAACUCACAGCACAUCCUUCUAGGGGCCUCUUUCUCCCAAGUCCUCCCAGGGACUUGGCAGCUUCAUCUCUAAGGCCUGCAGAGGCUGUGGCUAUGGCUGUCCAUUGUUCUCGCUCCUUGGCUUCAGUUCAGAGCCAUCAAAUCCCUGCAGCUCGCACACUGGAACAUUCAUAUUUUGGAUAAGGCCUUUGCUGUCAGUGGAAUACAGCAACACACAAGACAGACACAGUUGCCUUCCCGCUGAGGCUGGACGUCUACAAAGAAACUCUGGACAGCUAUUUGCCAAGGCGAUGGGCACUACAGAUGAGACGCACAAAUGAUAUGACUCAUGGGUGACGCUGGGCAAACCUCGGUGGUUGAGUCCUGUUGGGUUUUCUCAUAGGAGCCAGGACGUUCUAUGGCUCCCAGCAGCUCCAGCCCUCAGAAGUCACCGGCCCUGAGGCUUCAGCUUUGUUAGCCUCCAGGU